CCCGGCCGUGGCCGAGGUGAUCGUCGUGGACGACGAGUCCACCGACGCCACCGCCCGGGUGGCCGCCGGGCUCGGCGCCCGGGUCGUGCC
rnacentral:tRNA from 1 species